CCCUUAGAUGUUCUGGGCCGCACGCGCGCUACACUGAUGCAUUCAACGAGUCUAAAACCUGCUCUGAUAGGGGUGGGUAAUCUUUUGAAUGUGCAUCGUGAUUGGGAUAGAUGAUUGCAAUUUUCCAUCUUCAACGAGGAAUGCCUAGUAAACGCAAGUCAUCAGCUUGCAUUGAUUACGUCCCUGCCCUUUGUACACACCGCCCGUCGCUCCUACCGAUUGAAUGAUCCGAUGAAUAUCAUGGAUUGAGGAUGCAAGCAGGUUCGCCUGUCUUCAUCUUCGAGAAGUGAAGUAAAUCUUAUCAUUUAGAGGAAGGAGAAGUCGUAACA
rnacentral:rRNA from 1 species